GUUGGUACUCCCUACUGAGUUGGACACUUCGCAGGACACUGGGUCUGUAAAGUAGGAGUGAUCCACCGUAACCUCCAGGCUGUCGCCAUUGGCCUCCGAUAUGGGAAUCCCACCUUUGGCCCAUCUGUUUGAAAAAUGGGUUGGCAGAGGCAGAGCAAAUGAACAACACUUUUGCUCCUUCCAUCACCGUCUGAGGCUGAACAGACAGAGUCACAGACGGAGGAUCUGGAGGAAAACAUGUGGGAUUAGAUUCACUGCAGCAAUAGAGGCAUUACAAAUCCUUCCCAAUGACUUUACUGCCAAGCUCCAGGCGACAAGACUUUGGAUGAAAGAAGCAGAAGGCGAAGGUCUUAUGAUCUUAACAUGUUUCCUUUGAACGCCGUCUUAUGGGACGCGCCAACCCCAAGCCAAAGGUUUCAAAAACAGCGCAGAGAUUACUUGGAAUACCGAUGGCACAGCGCAGCAGAAUUCAGCAGGGAAACGGAGGGACAUUCCGAGAAAGCAAAUUAAGGCUGGAAAACAGAGGAUGCAGAGCUUUGGUAAGGGCAUGCACAUGAAUAUCUGGCGCUGGGGGCUUCAAGCCUGUCAUGUUCUGCGCUUCAGUCUCUGCUCUUUGCUUCCAGUUCUAAGCCUCGGCUCUGUCGGAUACUCUGGAAGUAUGUGUGUGUGUGUGUGUGUGUGUGCGAGAGAGACAGACAUAGAUGACAAACCAGGGGGAUACCAAGAGAUAAAGCGAAUGUGUGUUCGCGCUUUUUCGGGUCUGCACUGGGUGAGGAUGUAAGUGAGCUUAUGUGUUUAUGUGAACCAGGACAUGUUUUCUCUCUCUAUCCAUCCAUCUCUCUAUCCAUGUGCUGUUAUUUGGAAAGGGAGCUGGUGAGUCAGAUGUGAGCUGCUGGUGGUUGUUCAGAGUGUGCUGUGCUGCUUGUAUAGAUGUCAGGUGAGAUGAGUGGCUCAGGCUGUCCGGGAGCCUCUCCGCUCCUCCCAAAACAGCUGCCACCAGUCUGUCAGAGAAACGCUCGGCUACAUCCUAUUCUUCCCUGUCUCCACCUCCCUCAGUCUUACACACCCACUUAAUGAUGAGAAAAACAUCUCGGGGGUUCAGCCGGGGUCAGAAACUUGAUUUACAGCUUGGUACUUUACACAAAGACAAUUAUUAAAGAUUUAAAAAAAACUGCAAACAUAUACCCAAGAUAUACCCAACUAGGCAAAAGUUAAUUGGAGAAUUGCUUUAUAUCCAUUUUACCGGGAAGGCAUUUGUAUAUAUAUAUAGUUUGUGUGACAUGCCAUGCAUUUAGAUACAACAUUUCAUUUUAAUUACCGCCUCCAUCCGUGUCAAUAAGCCGGCCUCAUUUAUCAAAGAGAGAGACAGAAAGCUCAGCUUAACCGUCAAUACACAUUUGUUUUUCAUUCGUUUACUGAAGCGUCGACCAAAAGGGCUUUGCCUCACUCUCGGUUACGCCAUGUUAAUUGGGAAAAGAAACACUUUCGGAUCUGAGAGGACUGGGGAAUUUAAAGCCUUUAUUUUGAGUUGAAUCAAAGCCAGUGUUAAAAAUACACUUAAUAAAUUAAAUAUUUGUUAAAAGGCGUGGAAACAACUGGCGCACUGUCCAAAAAUAGGCCAGGCUUAAGUAGCUCUCACAGCUUUUGUUCCCGAACAACCUUUCAGUAUAAAAAGUUCUCAAAUUAACCAUUUAUAUACUCUCUAGAGCCAAAAGGUGUUGUGGAUAUCAAAGAAUCAAAAUCUCCCGACAAAGAAUAUUUAGAUACACUUAUAAAAAUGAACGUGCUACAAAAGUUUUCUUCACAGUGAACUAUUUUUGGUUCCUUAAAGAACCAUUCGGACAAAGUUUCUUAAAUUAACCAUAAUGUUAUAGUCUAAAUAAUACAAAGAACCUUUAAUGCAAAAGAAAAUUAAAGAUUCAUGGAACCAUACAACAAAAAUGGUUCUUCUAUGGCAUCGUGUAGCACCUUUAUUUUUAGGAGUGAACCUUAAUUUUUGAAAGUGCAGAAAAUAGCGCCGCCUUUGGUGCUGAACAGACAUAGCAGAAGUGAGCACGGCACGAGAUUGGGAGUUUAGAAAGAGUAUGAGCUUCCAAACGUGAUGCUGAAAAGACAACAACAACAGCAAAACAACGCCAGAUUACAUUGGGUUAGUCUCUCUGCUGGUUUGCAAAUAAUUCAAAUUGCAUGCUGUAGUACAGUGACGUUUCAGUUUGGGUUUUGUGUAAAGCCCUGCACGGUGUCACUGCAGUGUUGACAGUCUCCAUCUGAAACAAAGAGGCAGCGCGCUGAGUGCAGCAAGCGACAGCCAGCGCUUCCACACUCGAUAUGUAUCGGAAUAACGUGAGAUGCUCGCGGCCAAUGCAAAAAGUACAGAAUAAUGAAUAAAUCAACACUGCGACGACAAGAGUAAUCUUUAAGAUCCCGCGCAUUCCGGGCUCCCCAAAGACUGCAUCGAGAAGCGUCGCACCUCUGCGCGCGCGCGUAACGGCAGCAUUUAUAUUUAUUUAAUGCCGUUAAAUUAUUCUGUUUGAGACAGGAGAUGCUUUGAGAUCUUCCUGUUGGCGUUGGCUGUGAAAUUAUUAAGAGGCGCUUGUGUUUUCGAGGCAGGAGACUGCGAUCAGCGCAUCUCUUAUGCAGCGGACCCCUGGCUUUUAACACACUUUUAAUACACAAACGCACACUGCGCUCGUAUCGCUCAUCGGAACCUCAGACGGGUGUUAGCCGAUAGAGCCAUUAUCAUGGUCACACCUGGGUCUCUCUUAAACUUUAAGUGACUGGUGUGCUCUUUUCAGUGCUCCAUCUCACUAAAAGUGCCACUGGAUGUCUCACGCCUCUUAUGGAGAGUCAGUACGCACGCACAUACAUACAGUAAUGCAUCAUUAUAGCAUUUGAAAGAAACGCACCCACUUGUUCUAGUGUACUAAUUAUGCUCUCUGUGCAUAUCAUUAAAGUUAGCACACAUGCAUACUUUCUCGCGUAGCACUGUUUUGGGAGAUCAUUAUAUGUAAGUUACUGAGUUUGAGCACAUCCAAACAGCUAUUUAAAACUGUACAUAAGCAAUGCAGAUUGAAAAAUGCUUCAGUGCGCAUUAUAUCAAAUAAGUAGUAUGUUGAAUGCUUUUAAGUUUAUUCACAAAUUAGCCAUGUUCGCAUUUGGCGCAGUGCCACUCGCUCGCCGUUGCUAAAACACACCACAACGGUCUCUCUCUCGGACCUCAGCUCACAAAUGAAAUUAUGACACACUUAAUUUUAAUGCGGCAACUUUGCCUACUUUAACGCAGAGCGAAGUGAACAAUGGGUACGCGUUCGGUUACCUUAUCUCACUGCGUUAUGAUGAAGUUGACGCAUCGACUACUACAACACCACCAGUUGUUAUCAUCACAGCAGUUUUAAAAACCAGAAAACACUGUAAAU